rnacentral:misc_RNA from 1 species
UCACCCCUCAAGCCCCCGGCUUGGAGUUGGACGGUUUGGUCUGGGCUUCCCCCCAGACCCCUCCUAAAGACAAUGACGGCGGGCUGUUGAACCCCCGGUACACUGAGCUUCUUCAUUGAGCACGUAUCGGUUUCAAGGGUCGACGGCACCCGGUCUUUUACCUAAAUUUUUCUAA